UACGUAGGAGGCAAGCGUUGUCCGGAAUUACUGGGCGUAAAGCGCGUGUAGGUGGUGGGACAAGUCUGCUGUGAAAGUGCCUGGCUUAACCGGGCGAGGUCGGCGGAAACUGUCCGACUCGAGGACGGUAGAGGGGGGUGGAAUUCCCGGUGUAGUGGUGAAAUGCGUAGAGAUCGGGAGGAAUACCUGUGGCGAAGGCGGCCCCCUGGGCCGGACCUGACACUGAGACGCGAAGGCGUGGGGAGCGAACGGG
rnacentral:rRNA from 1 species